rnacentral:misc_RNA from 1 species
GGGAGACAUACACUAGCACAAGAUGUUAGAUGUCACACUAGGUCGACACUUUGGUCACCUUUAUUGUUCAGUUUUGAGAGGUCAACUCUCAAAAGUUGGUAUUGACAAGCAGUAAAAUGCUUUAUAUACUUACUAAGCACUAUUUUCUAAGAAAAUCGAUGCAUAACAAGAAAAACGAAUGAGGCGAAGUCGAAGCGUAAUGGUAAUUACGUGAGACAAGCAGAAUGAGUUUGUCGAAGUUAGGUGCGAUUUUAUAGAAAAUAAAGAUGUUCUUUGAAAACUGCAUAGAAGAUAAUAAAUUAUUUAUGAUUUGGUCUCUUAGAGUUGACUCUAAGGGUUAGACCAAGCACAUAGAUUCUCUAAAUUAACUUAUAAGGUGAGAGCAUCCGAAAGGAUGACUCUAAAGCAAAAGACAUAACCAUAUGUCACUAUCAAGUA